rnacentral:rRNA from 1 species
GACGAACGCUGGCGGCGUGCUUAACACAUGCAAGUCGAACGGUAAGGCCCUUCGGGGUACACGAGUGGCGAACGGGUGAGUAACACGUGGGUGAUCUGCCCUGCACUUCGGGAUAAGCCUGGGAAACUGGGUCUAAUACCGGAUAGGACCACUGCCUGCAUGGGGGGUGGUGGAAAGCUUUUGCGGUGUGGGAUGGGCCCGCGGCCUAUCAGCUUGUUGGCGGGGGGAUGGCCUACCAAGGCGACGACGGGUAGCCGGCCUGGGAGGGUGACCGGCCACACUGGGACUGAGAUACGGCCCAGACUCCUACGGGAGGCAGCAGUGGGGAAUAUUGCACAAUGGGCGCAAGCCUGAUGCAGCGACGCCGCGUGAGGGAUGACGGCCUUCGGGUUGUAAACCUCUUUCAGCACCGACGAAGCGCAAGUGACGGUAGGUGCAGAAGAAGGACCGGCCAACUACGUGCCAGCCGCCGCCGUAA